rnacentral:rRNA from 1 species
UUAGUGGCGAACGGGUGAGUAACACGUGGGCAAUCUGCCCUGCACUCUGGGACAAGCCCUGGAAACGGGGUCUAAUACCGGAUACUGAUCCUCGCAGGCAUCUGCGAGGUUCGAAAGCUCCGGCGGUGCAGGAUGAGCCCGCGGCCUAUCAGCUAGUUGGUGAGGUAACGGCUCACCAAGGCGACGACGGGUAGCCGGCCUGAGAGGGCGACCGGCCACACUGGGACUGAGACACGGCCCAGACUCCUACGGGAGGCAGCAGUGGGGAAUAUUGCACAAUGGGCGAAAGCCUGAUGCAGCGACGCCGCGUGAGGGAUGACGGCCUUCGGGUUGUAAACCUCUUUCAGCAGGGAAGAAGCGAAAGUGACGGUACCUGCAGAAGAAGCGCCGGCUAACUACGUGCCAGCAGCCGCGGUAAUACGUAGGGCGCAAGCGUUGUCCGGAAUUAUUGGGCGUAAAGAGCUCGUAGGCGGCUUGUCACGUCGGUUGUGAAAGCCCGGGGCUUAACCCCGGGUCUGCAGUCGAUACGGGCAGGCUAGAGUUCGGUAGGGGAGAUCGGAAUUCCUGGUGUAGCGGUGAAAUGCGCAGAUAUCAGGAGGAACACCGGUGGCGAAGGCGGAUCUCUGGGCCGAUACUGACGCUGAGGAGCGAAAGCGUGGGGAGCGAACAGGAUUAGAUACCCUGGUAGUCCACGCCGUAAACGGUGGGCACUAGGUGUGGGCAACAUUCCACGUUGUCCGUGCCGCAGCUAACGCAUUAAGUGCCCCGCCUGGGGAGUACGGCCGCAAGGCUAAAACUCAAAGGAAUUGACGGGGGGCCCGCACAAGCGGCGGAGCAUGUGGCUUAAUUCGACGCAACGCGAAGAACCUUACCAAGGCUUGACAUACACCGGAAAACCCUGGAGACAGGGUCCCCCUUGUGGUCGGUGUACAGGUGGUGCAUGGCUGUCGUCAGCUCGUGUCGUGAGAUGUUGGGUUAAGUCCCGCAACGAGCGCAACCCUUGUCCCGUGUUGCCAGCAGGCCCUUGUGGUGCUGGGGACUCACGGGAGACCGCCGGGGUCAACUCGGAGGAAGGUGGGGACGACGUCAAGUCAUCAUGCCCCUUAUGUCUUGGGCUGCACACGUGCUACAAUGGCCGGUACAAUGAGCUGCGAUACCGCGAGGUGGAGCGAAUCUCAAAAAGCCGGUCUCAGUUCGGAUUGGGGUCUGCAACUC